rnacentral:rRNA from 1 species
UACGGAGGGUGCAAGCGUUAUCCGGAUUUACUGGGUUUAAAGGGUGCGUAGGUGGUUAGGCAAGUCAGUGGUGAAAUCUUCGGGCUUAACCCGGAAACUGCCAUUGAUACUAUUUAUCUUGAAUACUUUGGAGGUAAGCGGAAUAUGUCAUGUAGCGGUGAAAUGCUUAGAUAUGACAUAGAACACCAAUUGCGAAGGCAGCUUACUACACAGUUAUUGACACUGAGGCACGAAAGCGUGGGGAUCAAACAGG